GACGAACGCUGGCGGCGUGCUUAACACAUGCAAGUCGAACGGAAAGGCCCUGCUUUUGUUGGGUGCUCGAGUGGCGAACGGGUGAGUAACACGUGAGUAACCUGCCCUUGACUUUGGGAUAACUUCAGGAAACUGGGGCUAAUACCGGAUAGGAUCUCCUGCUGCAUGGUGUGGGUUGGAAAGUUUCGGCUGUUGGGGAUGGACUCGCGGCUUAUCAGCUUGUUUGUGGGGUAGUUGCUUACCAAGGCUUUGACGGGUAGCCGGCCUGAGAGGGUGACCGGCCACAUUGGGACUGAGAUACGGACCAGACUCCUACGGGACGCAGCAGUGGGGAAUAUUGCACAAUGGGCGGACGCCUGAUGCAGCAACGCCGCGUGCGGGAUGACGGCCUUCGGGUUGUAAACCGAUUUCGAAUGUGACGAAGCGUGAGUGACGGUAAUGGGUAAAGAAGCACCGGCUAACUACGUG
rnacentral:rRNA from 1 species